rnacentral:tRNA from 1 species
AAGGCUUUAAGUUAAAAAAACUAAUAGCCUUCAAAGCUAUAAAUAAAAUAUGAAUUUUUAAGCCUUA